AUUCUUUUAUUAUAAUAAGUAAAAUUGACUUCCAAUCAAUAAGUCUGGUCUCCAGAAAGAAUA
rnacentral:tRNA from 1 species